rfam:Ictidomys tridecemlineatus contig008082, whole genome shotgun sequence.
AGGGAUGUAUCUUAGUGGUACAGUGCUUGCCUGACAUGCAUGAGGCCCUGGGUUCGACCCCUAGCAACACAC